rnacentral:lncRNA from 1 species
CUCAGCCUGAGAAAUAAGAAUGGAUGUUAAAAGGUGCAAGAAACUUCGAAAACUACAGUGGGGAAGGAGAUUUUGAAGUUAACUUUGAAAAGGAAUCGCAGACCAAUGCAAUAGGAGGUACUUCCUGGACAUCCUUUCUGUGAUCUCACAGAGUCCCUUGGCCAUUCUGGUUGCCCAGCAUCUGAAGCUUCUUCCUACGUUUGGGGGAGUUUCUUGGUAAGAGUAGGAGCCUCUUCUCAUGCCAAGUUAAAGUUAAAAAAGUUAAAAAAAAAAAAAAAAAAAAAAAACGUAAAACAUAGCCAACUAUGCAGACUUCCUUGCAAGCUGGAAUUCAGGCCCAUGACAGGGGCCUCUUGCUCAGACUUUGAGUUUGGAGGUGACGCAAGUUGUAAUUAGCAAGUAACUUCAGGAGGGGAGCCUUCCCAGG